rnacentral:sRNA from 1 species
AAAGAGCCCGCUCCGCCGAGCGCCGGGCGACGGCAGGAAGCCCCUCCGCUUGGCCAGAAUGGAGCAGCCGAAGGGAGUUGAUUGGACAGUCAUCAUCCUGACCUGCCAAUACAAGGACAGUGUCCAGGUCUUUCAGAGAGAACUGGAAGUGCGGCAGAAGCGGGAGCAGAUCCCUGCUGGGACGCUGUUACUGGCUGUGGAGGACCCAGAGAAGCGUGUGGGCAGCGGAGGAGCCACCCUCAACGCCCUGCUGGUGGCUGCUGAACACCUGAGUGCCCGGGCAGGCUUCACUGGUCGAGACUUCCCCUUUGAUGACUGUGGCAGGGCCUUCACCUGCCUCCCCAUGGAGAACCCCGAGGGCCCCGUGGAAGCCUUGGUCUGCAACCUGGACUGCCUGCUGGACAUCAUGACCUAUCGGCUAGGCCCGGGCUCCCCGCCAGGCGUGUGGGUCUGCAGCACCGACAUGCUGCUGUCUGUUCCUGCAAAUCCUGGUGAGCCUGAGACUACCUGGGACCGCCUUCCCUCGUCACAGCCACAGCAAGAAGCCAGCUCUGCCCUUCUUGCCCACCCUGCCUCUGGGCCUGCCCUGCUGCCCUAUUAGACGGGAAGCUGGAGGGUGUGGAGAAUGAAGCCUGGUGGAGGCAGGGCUUCUCCUGCUGUGCCUCAGUCUGUCUGUCUAUAGGAUGGACAGAAUCAGCCCUGCCCCUUCUGUCCCACAGGGCUCUGCGGAAGAACUUUGGGAGAGGAGGGUUGUCAUUCUCCCAGGCGAAUGUCCAUUUGGCUUGGAAACCGUAUUUCCCUUUUAGAGGUGCCCAGGUGCCGCAGCCCUGGGCUCUUGCUUCCUCCUGGUGGGGAAAUCCGUGCCUUGGGUGGAGGCCCCUGGGAGCCUCCUGACUGCCCCACCCCACAGGGAUCAGCUGGGACAGCUUCCGGGGAGCCAGAGUGAUCGCCCUCCCAGGGAGCCCGGCCUACGCUCAGAAUCAUGGCGUCUACCUAACUGACCCCCAGGUAGUGCCCCUGGGGGCAGUGGAGCCGGCUGGGGCAGCCUUCCUCCUGUCAGUGGGCAGCCUCCUCCCUGUCAGUGGGCAACCUCUCAUCCUGGAUUUCCUCGCAUGUUCCUGAAUCCAAGGAGUUUCCUCCGUGGCAGUGGCACCGGUGCUCCCUUACUCUCGCCAAAAAUACAUUUCACACCGACCGCCUGUCCAGUCUCUGUGCCCGGGCUCAGGGCUGCAAAGACCUUUAAAGCCUGCCCUCUGCCAUCAUGGAGUAGAAAUCUCAGGCCCCCCUGAGAAUGCCAGCAACUGCCAGCCUUGCAUCCUCAGCUUUCCUUUGGAGAAUGCCCUUGCUGCCACCUGUGGCUGUGGCCUCCUUCCAGAUCCCUUCCUGCUCCCUCCGCUGAUUCUGUUUCUCCCUGCACAUAGGGCCUUGUUUUGGACAUUUACUACCAGGGCACUGAGGCAGAGAUUCAGCGGUGUGUCAGGCCUGAUGGGCGGGUGCCACUGGUCUCUGGGGUUGUCUUCUUCUCUGUGGAGACUGCCGAGUGCCUCCUAGCCACCCACGUGAGCCCGCCCCUGGAUGCCUGCACCUACCUAGGCUUGGACUCCGGAGCCCGGCCUGUCCAGGUGACU